UACGUAGGGUGCAAGCGUUGUCCGGAAUUAUUGGGCGUAAAGAGCUUGUAGGCGGUUUGUCGCGUCUGCUGUGAAAUUUCGGGGCUCAACCCCGAACUUGCAGUGGGUACGGGCAGACUAGAGUGUGGUAGGGGAGACUGGAAUUCCUGGUGUAGCGGUGAAAUGCGUAGAUAUCAGGAGGAACACCGGUGGCGAAGGCGGCUACCUGGACAGAAACUGACGCUGAGGCACGAAAGCUAGGGGAGCAAACAGG
rnacentral:rRNA from 1 species